AGACCCGAAACCCGGUGAUCUAGCCAUGGGCAGGUUGAAGGUUGGGUAACACUAACUGGAGGACCGAACCGACUAAUGUUGAAAAAUUAGCGGAUGACCUGUGGCUGGGGGUGAAAGGCCAAUCAAACCGGGAGAUAGCUGGUUCUCCCCGAAAGCUAUUUAGGUAGCGCCUCGUGAAUUCAUCUCCGGGGGUAGAGCACUGUUUCGGCUAGGGGGCCAUCCCGGCUUACCAACCCGAUGCAAACUGCGAAUACCGGAGAAUGUUAUCACGGGAGACACACGGCGGGUGCUAACGUCCGUCGUGAAGAGGGAAACAACCCAGACCGCCAGCUAAGGUCCCAAAGUCAUGGUUAAGUGGGAAACGAUGUGGGAAGGCCCAGACAGCCAGGAUGUUGGCUUAGAAGCAGCCAUCAUUUAAAGAAAGCGUAAUAGCUCACUGGUCGAGUCGGCCUGCGCGGAAGAUGUAACGGGGCUAAACCAUGCACCGAAGCUGCGGCAGCGACACUAUGUGUUGUUGGGUAGGGGAGCGUUCUGUAAGCCUGUGAAGGUGGCCUGUGAGGGUUGCUGGAGGUAUCAGAAGUGCGAAUGCUGACAUAAGUAACGAUAAAGCGGGUGAAAAGCCCGCUCGCCGGAAGACCAAGGGUUCCUGUCCAACGUUAAUCGGGGCAGGGUGAGUCGACCCCUAAGGCGAGGCCGAAAGGCGUAGUCGAUGGGAAACGGGUUAAUAUUCCCGUACUUGGUGUUACUGCGAAGGGGGGACGGAGAAGGCUAUGUUGGCCGGGCGACGGUUGUCCCGGUUUAAGCGUGUAGGUGUGUGUUCCAGGUAAAUCCGGUUCACUUUAACACUGAGGCGUGAUGACGAGGCACUACGGUGCUGAAGCAACAAAUGCCCUGCUUCCAGGAAAAGCCUCUAAGCAUCAGGUAACAUCAAAUCGUACCCCAAACCGACACAGGUGGUCAGGUAGAGAAUACCAAGGCGCUUGAGAGAACUCGGGUGAAGGAACUAGGCAAAAUGGUGCCGUAACUUCGGGAGAAGGCACGCUGACA
rnacentral:rRNA from 1 species